rnacentral:tmRNA from 1 species
GGGGAUGACAGGCUUCGACGGAAGAGGCUGGUCCCGAACUGCGAGCCGAGAGGCGCCGAUCUCGUUAACUCAGCGCAAACUUUUAAGUGCCAAUCGCACUGAAUAUGCCGCUCUGCCCCUCGCUGCCUAGUGUAGUGAUGUAACGAGCGCAUUGACCCUUCAGGGGUCACGUCCUAUCACCACCGCUCUCCAGCCGGGGGUGUGACGGGCGCCACAAAUGCUGGUGUGCUGCGUCCCGAUGCUGCUAAUGACGCGUAAGAGGGACUUUCGGGUUCCAGCAGAUGGCUGAAGGAGCCUUUGGUUGUUUGUAGUCCCUUCAGCGACAAAAAACAAAUAACUACGCUCGUAGAUGUUCGAGGGUUUAAUCUUUCGGACGCGGGUUCAAUUCCCGCCAUCUCCACCU